rnacentral:lncRNA from 1 species
GUUUUAUCUUUCUGUCACCUUCUCUUCCUCUGUCACCUUCUCUUUCUCUGUCACAUCUUUUCAAUCAACUGUGCCCACACAGAUGCCAGGAUGAGUACAUUUACCAGGUAAGAGUAUAAAACACUGAUUUCCUAACUGAUACACAGGUGAGACAGGCAGGACAAACAAGCUACUAGGUUAAGUGUUGAUCCCAUCCUCUAAUCCUUCUGAUGAGAUGCUUCAGUCCUUUUGGUGAGGAAGACAAUGGUUCAAACAGAUUGAUCCAUUUUGUGGAUGAGAUGUUUUUCUUCUGACUCCCUUACAAUUGUAACAGUUUUCAGUCCAGAGUUUUAUAUUUUAAAUCUUUGAGCUACUAUUGUUAUAAUUUAAAUAUUUGCUGUUACUAUCUAAAUUGUCCCAUCUUUAUCUGUGAUUUUGCUUCUGUUAUUUUACACUGUUCUAGCCUGUAUGCUUCCUUUCUGCUUUUUCUCAUCUCUGUCUUAUCAGAAGUCUAAGCUGGAGUUAGACAGCUGUACUGUGUCCAAACCAGAAUCUGGAUCACACACAGCUGAAACCCUGGAAGGAGGAUUACAGGAUAAACAUACUUGCUUCAGUAAGAAAAUAAUGAUGCAAAAAGCCAGCUUGUGUUACAACAGCUCCACAGAACAAAGAAUAAAGGACAUUUGGUGCCAGUCUUGCCGUGACUCCUCACAAAGGGCUAAACUGGUGGUAUUGUAGAUGACAAUACCGAAAUAAUAAAAAGUGUAAAAAGUGUACA